AAAUGUAAUAGCUAAAUGACAUUAAAUGAAACAAUGUUAAAUGAGGACCCACUGUAUUUGUUAACAAAUGACAUGUAGAAUUUAAUAUGAGACAGAUUCAAAAAGUUUCUGGAAUUAUUCUCUACCAUGGGAAUGAAACUUGCUCAUGAGAUUUUCAAUUUCUAAGAUUGGAAACAUCCAUGACAUCAUCUGAUGACGAGUGUUGAUAUCUCACUUCCUGUUUUUGUGAAGCACCACAAUUUGUUUGUUUAACUUGUGUUCAGUAAUAUCUGUGACUGAGCAAUGUACAAGGAUCAAAUUUUGUUUUGUUUCAUAAAUCACCAUCAGAAACAUGCUUAAAAAAGCAUAUGGUGAAACAGUAAUGAAGAAAUUGCAAGUUUAUGUGUGGCAUAAGUGUUUCUGUAUAUACAAAAACACUUAUGCUAUACAUAAACUUACACUGUAUGACAGAUGCCCACUACGAUACUCUGCAUGGCAGAUGUCUGUCUAUGCAGAUAUAAAUUGCUCAUUAAUUGCUGAAAACAUUGAAAGUAUAUGCAAUAUUAUCUAAUGUGACUGAAGAUAAACUGUAAAAGAAAUUUUGUCAGAGGUAGGAAUAUCAGAUGGAGAUAUUUAUAGUAUUUUCACAAUUAUUUGGAUAUACAUUAUGUUUGUCAAUACUUGGUUCCAAAAAUGUUGACUUCUCAGCAUAAUAAGGACACAAAUGACCCUUGCCAGGGACCUAAUUACUUUAGCUGUUAAAGAUGACAUUUUUCCAAGCAAUAUAUUGGUAAUCACAGAAGGGAACAUAGUGUUUUUUGUAUGAUCUACAGAUUAGGGCCAGCUUUAGGGUUGGACAAGCUGGAUGGUUGCUCAGAGUCACAAGUUAGUUGGGGCUGGUUCCCACUAUAGCUAUGUUCUGACUUUGUCUUCAACACCAUCAAAAGUGUUCACACCACCAUCUGUAUAUCGAUCCAUCUAGUCAAUGAGCUAAUGCAAAGCUGUAAGGGCUGGUUCCCACUACAGCUAUGUUCUGUCUUUGUCUCCAACUCCAUCAAAAAUGUUCACAUUGCCAUCUCUACAUUGAUCCAUCUAGCCAAUGAGCUAAUGCAAUAAAAAUUGAAGACCAAGUCAAUCACAAACAAGUUUAUAAAAAGGUUUAUACAAACAAAAUGGAUGACUGUGUUGCUUGGGAUUAUGCAUUAUGUUUAGUGCCAAUAACAUGUGCAAAUGCUAAAGGAAAGAAAAUAGUCUCUUUAAUGUAAAUGACUGUCAAACUUAUAAUUAAAACUGGCAGAUUACUGUAUUUUAGAUCAAAAAGGGAAAGACAAACAACUCGGUGGCAGAGCAGUGGUCAAAAAUAUUUGCAAAAAGAAAUCGAUCGUGAAAUUCAAAAAGUAAUUAGAAAUUUACUGUUUGAAUUAAUUGCUACAGCUGAAAACAAACAACAGUAUAAAUGUCAAAACAGUUUAUGAUAGACUGACAAAUGUAAUAGAAUUUGUGAUUUUUAUGGAGUACAAAUGCAAAAGGCAAUACUAUUCCAAUUCUACUUGCUAUUAUUUCAAAAUAUAACAAAACAGUCCAAUUAGCAAGUACUAGACAUCAGACCUUUAUUUUGUAUAACAUUU
rnacentral:lncRNA from 1 species